rnacentral:rRNA from 1 species
CUACGGGUUGCUCCAGUGGGGAAUCUUGGACAAUGGGCGCAAGCCUGAUCCAGCCAUGCCGCGUGAGUGAGGAAGGCCUUAGGGUCGUAAAGCUCUUUCGCCAGAGAUGAUAAUGACAGUAUCUGGUAAAGAAACCCCGGCUAACUCCGUGCCAGCAGCCGCGGUAAUACGGAGGGGGUUAGCGUUGUUCGGAAUUACUGGGCGUAAAGCGCGCGUAGGCGGAUUAGUCAGUCAGAGGUGAAAUCCCAGGGCUCAACCCUGGAACUGCCUUUGAUACUGCUAGUCUUGAGUUCGAGAGAGGUGAGUGGAAUUCCGAGUGUAGAGGUGAAAUUCGUAGAUAUUCGGAGGAACACCAGUGGCGAAGGCGGCUCACUGGCUCGAUACUGACGCUGAGGUGCGAAAGUGUGGGGAGCAAACAGGAUUAGAUACCCCGGUAGUC